rnacentral:tRNA from 1 species
GUCCCCGUAGCUCAAUGGAUAGAGCAUCCGCCUUCUAAGCGGACGAUACAGGUUCGAUUCCUGUCGGGGGCA